GACGAACGCUGGCGGCGUGCUUAACACAUGCAAGUCGAACGGAAAGGCCCUGCUUGCAGGGUACUCGAGUGGCGAACGGGUGAGUAACACGUGGGUGAUCUGCCCUGCACUUCGGGAUAAGCCUGGGAAACUGGGUCUAAUACCGGAUAGGAGCCAUUUUUAGUGUGAUGGUUGGAAAGUUUUUUCGGUGUAGGAUGAGCUCGCGGCCUAUCAGCUUGUUGGUGGGGUAAUGGCCUACCAAGGCGGCGACGGGUAGCCGGCCUGAGAGGGUGGACGGCCACAUUGGGACUGAGAUACGGCCCAGACUCUUACGGGAGGCAGCAGUGGGGAAUAUUGCACAAUGGGCGCAAGCCUGAUGCAGCGACGCCGCGUGGGGGAUGACGGCCUUCGGGUUGUAAACUCCUUUCGCUAGGGACGAAGCUUUUUGUGACGGUACCUAGAUAAGAAGCACCGGCUAACUACGUG
rnacentral:rRNA from 1 species